rnacentral:rRNA from 1 species
AUGCCAACCGUACUACUUGUACUGAUGAUGGCACUGCGGCUCCUCCUCGUAGGAGGAGUAGUGGUCGCCGGUGGCCCGGGACCGGGAGUCCUGCCUGGCUGCCCAGAAGCCUGUGGCAGCAUCGCCAUCCCCUACCCUUUCGGCAUCGGCCUAGGCUGCUCCCGCCUGGGCUUCAACCUCACCUGCGACGACACGCAUGAUCCACCUAAGCUCUUCUUGGGCGACGACGUGGAAGUGGACGCCAUCUCCCUGGCGGACGGCACGGUGCGAGUCCGGACCCUGGUCAUGGACGGCUCCUUCUCCGUGAACCUGACCGCCCUAGCGGCAGCGAGCGUCGGCGUCGGGAAGCCAUCUCUCAACUCCAGCGGCUCUUGGUCCGGUGGCCUAACAGGCCCCGGCGUGCAGCAGCUCGCCGUGUCCACCCAGCACAACGUCUUCGUGGCCAUCGGAUGUAACUUCAUCGCCCACCUCGUUGGCGAUUCCGACCCUGCAACUGCAGGCGGUAAGGGUCCCCAUCCCCUGUACUACGUCAGCGCAUGCGCCGUGCUGUGCGAAAGAGAUGAUGAUCGGUCGUCCUUGGGCGACCCGUGCUCUGGCUUUGGAUGCUGCCAGACGACCAUCGGGCGGGGCUUACCCUCCUACGGGUUGCUGUUCAAGGAUUUGGACCAGGCUAAUGGUUCAGCGGUGGGCGCAUUCAUAAUCGAUCGCGAGUGGUUCACCGGGAUUAACGUAUCCGCGUCCAUGGAUAUCCCUGGCAUGCGGUGGGACUCGUGGAACGAUGUUGGUCGCUAUGUCUAUGGAUAUGGUAUGCAUCCGCGUCCCAAGGUGCCCACCGUGCUGGAAUGGUGGCUGGACGUAGAAAGAGACGGUGACUUGCUCGUGUUGGGUGAUCCCCUUUCACGUCGGAGAUGCAUAAGCUUGAACAGCUUCGCUACCGACGUUUCCUAUGGCUCAGGCACAGGGUACAUCCUCAGGUGCGACUGCUCCGAGGGAUACCAAGGCAACCCUUACCUUGUUGAUGGAUGCCAAGAUAUCGACGAGUGCCAGGGUCAUAACGAUGCAUAUCCAUGUGUGGACGGGACAACCUGCAUCAAUAUGCCAGGGUCAUACCGAUGCCCAGAAAAGAAAGGGUUCAUUAGCCUCUCAGGUUUAAUUACCGUAGUUGCAAUUAGUGGUGGUCUGUGGUUACUGCUUUCACUUCUGGGUGUUGCAAAAAUCACCAAUAAACUCAAGCAACAGAGAGUCAAGAAGUCAAGACAAAAAAAUUUCAAGAAAAACCAUGGGUUGCUUCUACAACAGUUAAUCUCUUCAAACAAAGAUAUAGCCGAGAGAACAAAGCUUUUUAGCUUGGAAGAACUGGGGCAAGCAACCAACAAAUUUGAUCAUAAUCGCAUCCUUGGUGGCGGUGGUCAUGGCACGGUGUACAAAGGCAUCUUAUUUGAUCAACGUAUCGUGGCCAUCAAGAAGGCCAAAAUUGUGGUUCAGAGCGAAAUCGACCAGUUCCUCAAUGAGGUUGUCAUACUUUCCCAAACAAACCAUAGGAACGUGGUCAAGCUCUUUGGUUGUUGCCUUGAGGCAGAAGUUCCUCUACUAGUUUAUGAGUUCGUAUCAAAUGGAACUCUCUCCUUCCAUCUUCACGGACAAACCGAGAACCAUUUGCCAUGGCGAGAUAGGUUGAGGAUUGCAUUGGAAACUGCAAGGUCCAUUGCGUAUCUCCACUCGGCUGCUUCCAUAUCAGUAUACCAUAGAGAUAUCAAAUGUGCAAACAUACUACUUACCGAUACCUUAACAGCAAAAGUAUCAGAUUUUGGAGCUUCAAGGUCACUUGCAAUAAACGAGACAGGAAUACUUACAGCAGUCCAAGGAACUUAUGGUUACCUUGAUCCUGAAUACUACUACACUAGCUGACUCACGGAGAAGAGUGAUGUUUAUAGCUUUGGUGUUAUCCUAGCAGAGCUACUGACAAGGGUGAAACCUGUUUUUUCUUCUCAUUCGUCGGAACUAACAAGCCUAGCAUCAUAUUUCGUGUCACUUAUAAGAGACAACCGCUUGUUAGAUAUUCUAGAUUCAAAAAUUGUUGAAGAGGGAGGGGUUGAUGAUGCCAAGGUCGUUGCAAGACUCGCAGAAGCAUGCUUAAGUUUAAAAGGUGAAGAAAGGCCUACAAUGAGGCAAGUGGAGACAACACUUGAAGAUGUGCACAACUCAAAGGCCCAUCUCAGUUCUCAUAUUACAAGGGUGAACCAAAAUGUUGUAUAUGAUCUAUCAUACAAGGGAAGCAAAGCCAAUGAUGGAACUAGACUGUACAGCUUGGAAAAAGAGUUCAUCCAAUCAUCUGAAAUUCCUAGAUGA